rnacentral:lncRNA from 1 species
CACAAGCUCAGGCUUCUGACUUCAUUGCAUAAUGCAGUAGCAACUGGAUUUGCAGCAGAAACACCCUGCUAAAGAACAAGUGUCUUGGUUCACAGCAAAGAGGACAAAGAAAAACAGCAAGUUCUAGGGGGUUGAAUGCUGGAUUCAUGCAAACUAGAAGUUAUGAGGAGCAUCUUGCUGACACCCCCAUCUGCCUUACUAGAAUAUCUCUGUAAGUGAAAGAGACUCAUUUACUUCUGAAACAGGAG